AGCACAAAACGUUAAUUAAGGAGCUCAUUAACAUCUAAUUAGCAUAACGACGGCUAAUUGCCCGCAGGGCUCGCGGCGGAAGCGGGAGCGGCGCAAGGAGGGGCGGCGGCCGCGGGGGGCGGAGCCUGAGCCGGAAGAGGCGGAGCUGAGCCGGCGCCUGCAGGCCCUGGCGGCCGCCGCCGACGAGGAGGAGGAGGAGGAGGAGGAAGCUCCGGCGUCGCGGAGAGGAGCGAGGAGGAGGAAGGGUGGGAACGUUUUCGCUGCGCUGAGCCGGGAGCAGAGCGAGGAAGAGGAGGAGGAGGAAAAGGAGGAGGAAAAGGAGAAAAAAACAACCAAGGGCAAAA
rnacentral:lncRNA from 1 species